rnacentral:rRNA from 1 species
GACGAACGCUGGCGGCGUGCUUAACACAUGCAAGUCGAACGGAAAGGCCCUGCUUUUGUGGGGUGCUCGAGUGGCGAAGGGGUGAGUAACACGUGAGUAACCUGCCCUUGACUUUGGGAUAACUUCAGGAAACUGGGGCUAAUACCGGAUAGGAGCUCCUGCUGCAUGGUGGGGGUUGGAAAGUUUCGGCGGUUGGGGAUGGACUCGCGGCUUAUCAGCUUGUUGGUGGGGUAGUGGCUUGCCAAGGCAUUGACGGGUAGCCGGCCUGAGAGGGUGACCGGCCACAGUGGGCCUGGGAUACGGCCCAGACUCCUACGGGGGGCAUCAGUGGGGAAUAUUGCACAAUGGGCGGAAGCCUGAUGCAGCGACGCCGCGUGCGGGAUGACGGCCUUCGGGGUGUAAACCGCUUUCGCCUGUGACGAAGCGUGAGUGACGGUAAUGGGUAAAGAAGCACCGGCUAACUACGUG